CUGUAAUACUGGUCACAGUGCUUCAUUUACUACCAGAGAGAUGAGCUCUUGGGAUUUUCAAAUGUGUGGACAUAAUUCCAGUGCCAUUAUACCACUGAUUUUCAAAUUAAAUUGGUGAGCUUUUCUAAAGCCUUUUUGUGCUGGUAUAAAUGCCCUGAUAACUAAAUGUAACAGAAAUAUGGUUUCAUGUUUUUCUUUCUAUAGUUUAUAAUUUAUCCCUGGUAAUCCUGCUUAUGGCCCAGAAGUCCCUUUGAUAUGAAACAAUGUUCAGCCAUGGAGGAGAGAUCUGGUGGUAUGAACCAAUGUUUUGUAUGAUUUUCUAUGUUUGAAAUAUGAAGAACAUUAUGACUUCACUCUGGUAGAAGUUUAGGAGGGAUUUCAGUGGCCUUCGCUAGUGGAUGCUUAUGUUGUAAAUACCUCAGGCAUCAGAGACGUAAAACACAUUUUUAUUGAAAGCCUGCUUUCCUCAAAAGUGGGAAAUCUGAGGCUACAUUCAGAGGGUGCUCAAGAUUCUUCUGACUGGCAGAGUCUUCCUUCUGCUUCUGGCUCAGCCUCUGUAGUGGCAAGCUUUCCAGGGGGACAAAACAAUUGUUACUUCUUUUCCACUCCCCCACCUCUGGUCACUGAGGACUGCUGGGUUUUGUGCUUAUAGUUUGGCUCCUCUGACAACUUUCAAUAAGAGCUGGAGCUAAACAGUGGAGUUCCAGACUGCAGUUUGAUGGUGAGGAUGGAGAUGCCUGGCUUGUUAAUGAGGAUUUUCCCCUCUUCACAGACAUUUGAGUGAUCCCAACCAGCUACCAUAGGGGGAGCAUCCAAUUUUUUUUUUUUUUUUCUGGUGUCAGAGUUUUAUUAGCUUUGCUUAUAGAAAUAUAGCAAAACAGAAAAGGCCACACUGGCUUUUCUCUGUAAAUAUUUAAGUAUAGACUGUGUGGACACAUGGCAGGUAUAAACCAGAUUGAAGUGAUCUCCAGGUUGGUAAUGGUUUGCUAAUCUAACCCAAGUGUUACUGAACGUGGUUCAUGGUGCCUUUGAAUUUAUGUGUAGUCAUGGCAUGCUGACUCUUUCAUUGCACUAUUUUCUUACACUGUAAAAUAAAUUCACACUUGGCAUAACA
rnacentral:lncRNA from 1 species